GUAGGUGGAGGUAUAGAGGUAUGGGACUGUAGGUGGAGGUAUAGAGGUACGGGACUGUAGGUGGAGGUAUGGGACUGUUGGUGGAGGUAUGGGACUGAAGGUGGAGGUAUGGGACUGUAGGUGGAGGUAUAGAGGUAUGGGACUGUAGGUGGAGGUAUGGGGCUGUAGGUGGAGGUAUAGAGGUAUGGGACUGUAGGUGGAGGUAUGGGACUGUAGGUGGAGGUAUAGAGGUAUGGGACUGUAGGUGGAGGUUUAGAGGUAUGGGACUGCAGGUGGAGGUAUAGAGGUAUGGGACUGUAGGUGGAGGUAUAGAGGUAUGGGACUGCAGGUGGAGGUAUAGAGGUAUGGGACUGUAGGUGGAGGUAUAGAGGUAUGGGACUGCAGGUGGAGGUAUAAAGGUAUGGGACUGUAGGUGGAGGUAUAGAGGUAUGGGACUGCAG
rnacentral:lncRNA from 1 species